rnacentral:rRNA from 1 species
CGGUUGAUCCUGCCGGAGGUUACUGCUAUCGGAGUUCGAUUAAGCCAUGCGAGUCUAAAGGUUUCUUCGGAAGCCUUGGCGGACUGCUCAGUAACACGUGGAUAACCUACCCUUGGGACUGGAAUAACCCCGGGAAACUGGGGAUAAUACCGGAUAGAUCAGGGAUGCUGGAAUGCACCUUGAUCCAAAGCUCCGGCGCCCAAGGAUGGGUCUGCGGCCUAUCAGGUUGUAGUGGGUGUAACGUACCUACUAGCCGACGACGGGUACGGGUUGUGAGAGCAAGAGCCCGGAGAUGGAUUCUGAGACACGAAUCCAGGCCCUACGGGGUGCAGCAGGCGCGAAACCUUUACAAUGUGCGAAAGCAUGAUAAGGGAACUCCGAGUGCCAGUAUCUAAUACUGGCUGUCCUUGUGCCUAAACCGCACAAGAUAGCAAGGGCCGGGUAAGACCGGUGCCAGCCGCCGCGGUAACACCGGCGGCCCGAGUGGUAGCCGCUAUUAUUGGGUCUAAAGGGUCCGUAGCCGGUUCGAUAAGUCCUCUGGGAAAUCUGGUUGCUUAACAAUCAGACUGCCAAGGGAUACUGUUGAACUUGAGACCGGGAGAGGUAAGAGGUACUUCAGGGGUAGGAGUGAAAUCUUGUAAUCCCUGGGGGACCAUCUGUGGCGAAGGCGUCUUACCAGAACGGGUCUGACGGUGAGGGACGAAAGCUGGGGGCGCAAACCGGAUUAGAUACCCGGGUAGUCCCAGCCGUAAACGANGCUCGCUAUGUGUNNNGUACNGUGUGACCGU